CUAACAACACACAACAUUCCAGGAAUGUACUACCAAAGUUCUAUCAAUAUUUGAAUGUCCUGGACAUUUAGGGAACAUUCGGUGAACAUCUGAUUAAAUUAUUCGUGGAAUGUUACCAUAAGACAUUCUGUGAACAUACUACCAAUGUUCCUAUAUGUUCAUUUUCAAAUUCACGGCGCAUGUAUUUGUGCAUGGUGCUUAGAGAGGGCAUCACGUGACUAAAAACGACCAAUGACCUCACUUCAGACUUCGGUGCUUCGGCCAUCUUGACAUGCAUCUUGGCCUUGGCCACAUGGCCACCUUGCCGUGCGUGAUCGUUGUUUGUUUUUAUUUGUGCUUUUUAAGAAUAUUUUUUAAUUCGGAUACUUUUAUAAUAACUUUAAUAGUAUUAUUAAUAUAGUGCAUAAAAUCAGUUGGAGUAGCAGAAGCAAUGUAGAUAAAAAAUCUGCAGGAAUAAUGUUUCAAAGCUUUCCAGAAGAUCCUGCGAAGAAGGCAUGAAGUAUUGAUCAGAUUUGUUAAUAGAGCAGUAUGUUCAAAACAUUUUUUAGAAAAAGAUAUUGACAGAACUUCACUUUCAACCGUUUGAGAGACUGUGCUGUUCCAAUAGCUUAUAUCACACAGAAUCAGCUGAGAGAAGUGGUCUACAAAAAACCAGGAAGGAAAUGGAAUAUGUGGCUAUGAAAGGCAAAAGAAAGGUUUACAAAGCAAAUGUGACACAUUUUUUUAUAGGAAUAUCAGUAAAUUACAUUAAAAAAAUGUAUGAAAAGAUUUUUUGCAAUAAAAAUGUUUAUAUUUAUCAAGGAUGCAUUAUUUGGUAUGGCCACAUAUCGUCAGUGAUGUGACAAUACCUCCUAUCUGUUUUUUCAUGAGAUUUGUAAGAUAGACUAAAAACUUGUUUGGGCCACCUCCUGUUUUCAUAUAUUUUUUGACUUGUUUUGCAGUAAAU
rnacentral:lncRNA from 1 species